rnacentral:rRNA from 1 species
AUUGAACGCUGGCGGCAGGCCUAACACAUGCAAGUCGAACGAGUGGCGGACGGGUGAGUAAUGUCUGGGAAACUGCCUGAUGGCGGGGGAUAACUACUGGAAACGGUAGCUAAUACCGCAUACUAUCAGAUGAGCCUAGGUAGGAUUAGCUAGUUGGUGGGGUAAAGGCCUACCAAGGCGACGAUCCGUAACUGGUCUGAGAGGAUGAUAAGUAACACUGGAGCUGAGACACGGUCCAGACUCCUACGGGAGGCAGCAGUGGGGAAUAUUGGACAAGGGGCGAAAGCCUGAUCCAGCCAUGCCGCGGGUGUGAAGAAGGCCUUCGGGUUGUAAAGCACUUUCAGCGGGGAGGCGUUACCCGCAGAAGAAGCACCGGCUAACUCCGUGCCAGCCGCCGCGGUAAUAC